CCUACGGGUGGCUGCAGUCGAGAAUUUUUCUCAAUGGGCGAAAGCCUGAAGGAGCGACGCCGCGUGGGGGAUGAAGGGCUUCGGUCCGUAAACCCCUGUCAUUUGCGAACAAACCUUAUGUGUGAACAACAUAUGAGCUGAUUGUAGCGAAAGAGGAAGGGACGGCUAACUCUGUGCCAGCAGCCGCGGUAAUACAGAGGUCCCGAGCGUUGUUCGGAUUCACUGGGCGUAAAGGGUGCGCAGGUGGUUUGGCAAGUUUGAUGUGAAAGCUUCGG
rnacentral:rRNA from 1 species